rnacentral:tRNA from 1 species
AUUUAUAUAGUUUAAAUAAAACAUUACAUUUUCAUUGUAAAAAUAAAUAAAUAUAUUUUAUAUAUA